UACGUAGGGUGCAAGCGUUGUCCGGAAUUAUUGGGCGUAAAGAGCUCGUAGGCGGCCUGUCGCGUCGGCUGUGAAAACCCGGGGCUCAACCCCGGGCCUGCAGUCGAUACGGGCAGGCUAGAGUCCGGUAGGGGAGACUGGAAUUCCUGGUGUAGCGGUGAAAUGCGCAGAUAUCUGGAGGAACACCGGUGGCGAAGGCGGCAUCCUGGACCAAUUCUGACGCUGAGGAGCGAAAGCCAGGGGAGCAAACGGG
rnacentral:rRNA from 1 species